rnacentral:rRNA from 1 species
GACGAACGCUGGCGGCGUGCUUAACACAUGCAAGUCGAACGCUGAAGCACCAGCUUGCUGGUGUGGAUGAGUGGCGAACGGGUGAGUAAUACGUGAGUAACCUGCCCUUGACUCUGGGAUAAGCCCGGGAAACUGGGUCUAAUACUGGAUGCUACAUGUCACCGCAUGGUGGUGUGUGGAAAGGGUUUACUGGUCUUGGAUGGGCUCACGGCCUAUCAGCUUGUUGGUGAGGUAAUGGCUCACCAAGGCGACGACGGGUAGCCGGCCUGAGAGGGUGACCGGCCACACUGGGACUGGGACACGGCCCAGACUCCUACGGGAGGCAGCAGGGGGGAAUAUUGCACAAUGGGCGAAAGCCUGAUGCAGCGGCGCCGCGGGAGGGAUGACGGCCUUCGGGUUGUAAACCUCUUUCAGCAGGGAAGAAGCCACAAGUGACGGUACCUGCAGAAGAAGCGCCGGCUAACUACGUG